rnacentral:rRNA from 1 species
CAGUAGCCGCGGUAAUACGAAGGGUGCAAGCGUUACUCGGAAUUACUGGGCGUAAAGCGUGCGCAGGUGGUGGUUUAAGUCCGUUGUGAAAGCCCUGGGCUCAACCUGGGAAUUGCAGUGGAUACUGGGUCACUAGAGUGUGGUAGAGGAUAGUGGAAUUUCCGGUGUAGCAGUGAAAUGCGUAGAGAUCGGAAGGAACAUCUGUGGCGAAGGCGACUAUCUGGGCCAACACUGACACUGAGGCACGAAAGCGUGGGGAGCAAACAGGAUUAGAUACCCCGGUAGUCCCUGUCUCUUAUAC